rnacentral:rRNA from 1 species
CCGGACCGGCGCACGGGUGAGUAACGCGUAUGCAACCUGCCCGUUUCAGCGGGAUAACCCGGAGAAAUCCGGCCUAAUACCGCAUGUGGCCGAGGGGAGGCAUCUUCUUUCGGCCAAAGGAGGCGACUCCGGAGACGGAUGGGCAUGCGUGACAUUAGCUAGUUGGCGGGGUAACGGCCCACCAAGGCGACGAUGUCUAGGGGUUCUGAGAGGAAGGUCCCCCACACUGGUACUGAGACACGGACCAGACUCCUACGGAAGGCAGCAG